rnacentral:rRNA from 1 species
UACGGAGGGGGCUAGCGUUGUUCGGAAUUACUGGGCGUAAAGCGCGCGUAGGCGGCUUUGUAAGUUAGAGGUGAAAGCCCGGAGCUCAACUCCGGAAUUGCCUUUAAGACUGCAUCGCUAGAAUCAUGGAGAGGUGAGUGGAAUUCCGAGUGUAGAGGUGAAAUUCGUAGAUAUUCGGAAAGAACACCAGUGGCGGAAGGCGACUCACUGGACAUGUAUUGACGCUGAGGUGGCGAAAGCGUGGGGAGCAAACAGG